GAUUUUUCUUGCGUCUCCCGGAAGCUGUGCUGUUAGACACAAUUACCUCAGCUAGGUCACUGAGACCAAAUCAUACGGGACGCUUAAUGAAGGACCGCAUUCAAAAGGGAUUACGCCUUGAAGUGUCCUGGCGGGCGACAUUUUUACAGAUUUUAAGGGGCAAAUUUAGAACAGCUAAAAAAAAGGUUUCAAAGCCGUGACUACUAAAAGAGCAUCUAGGCCUCCCAUUUUAUCAGGAGGAAUUCAACUUAGAAAAUGCAGCAUUAUUGUGUCAAAUUAGCACUGAUGAUUUACCCAUAGCAGUAUGAACUUCUUGGAGGAAGGAAAGAAAAGUACAACAGCUUCUUCAGAGAAAAGAACAAAUUGGCAUAGGAAAGAAGAAAGACACUUCGUUUAAAGAAUGUAUUUUGCAGUAAAUGCCCACAAACAGCCCAUAGAGAGUUCACUUAUUUAUGCAUCACCAUAUGAUUAUUCUGACUGCCUUUAGUCUCAAACAGGGAAAGCCUCCGCAAAAAGCAUUCUCCAGGUGUUAGUUUAGGUUUGUCAUUAUUUCCUAUUUAUAGACUCUGUCUAGUAAAAGAAGACAAAUUACUGUAAGUGGGGGUAAAUGUGAUUAAACGAGUCCUCUGAAGAUAAGAAGUUACAUGGACAAGGGUCAUUAACACAAAUGACCUCUUUUUGCCAGAACAUAUUUUUUUAAUUUAGUGGAUUUGAAAAAAACUGCAAAGCAAGAAUAAUCUCUACUGCACAUACUCACAGAGAAACAUAUCCCUUUUAUUCUAAUAAAUAUUUUCAUGACUCUUCAGUAUUUUAAUAACAUACUGAUAAUGCCAAAAUACUCUCAGAAUACACCAAGAACAAUAUUGGAGGGAUCAUUUAUCUUAAGGAGUCUAAUCGGAAACACUUAAGCAACAUAGUUAUAAUCAGACAAGACAUAUAACACCAAGAAUGUAAGUUAGUGGAAACAAGAUCAUGGGAAUCAAAUGGAAAGCUGAAAUUUGUAAAGUUUCAAUUAAAACAUCUACACUCUUUCUUUCACCUGAUCGUAGCCCCAUAUGGCAAGGUCAGCCCUUUCAGUGAACAAACAGCUCAGUCGCCUCCAGUGUAGCUGUUAUCUUCCUCAACAAGGGGAGACAUUUGGCACAGCCUAAAGCUGGGGCAUGAACCCUGGCUAAGCUUAAGACAUUUAUCUGACAGCAUCAGCUGACACUCCACAAACACAUUUGCUCUCCAUGACCUCAGAGCAUUCGUGAUUAAUCAAAAAUGUAUCUUGGAUCUUGAGAACAAGCUACAACCAGGCACACACAAAAAAGAAUAUGCUCUCGAUCUCACUUAUCGACUCAAGAGGUAUAUUGAAUUUAGAAAUAGCAAAUAGAAUAAAAUGAUCAAUAUGUUCUCACUUGUCCAUGGAAGAGCAAACUUUAUCCCUCAAGCCAAAGACAUUGAUCAUGUAAAUGUUUCAGAACUGCUUUCAGACUCAAUAAUGCAAAAUGCACAUGGUUUAUUGGGGGUAGAGAAGGAGGCCUGCCAAAGAGGAGCUUUUGCUUUAACUUAAAAAAAUAUAUAGCUUGAAGACAUAAAGCAUUAUGCUUGUAGUGUGCUAUAUUUUUUUACAAACUGUGUGUUCAGCCUAAAACCUUUUUUGGUAACAUGUUGCUGAAUGUUCUCAAUAAAGCAUUAUAAAGGAGACUUUAAAACUUAAUGAAGGAACAUUAUUUGUGCAGAGAAAACUCCCUGUCUUAAUUUAAAUGAGACACAGUUAUAACAUAUCCCCUAUGCACUGUUUACAAUUUAUAAUUUAUAAUUUAUGUCUCUUGGUUCAAACUCACUAUUUUCUAAGUAAUGAUUAACAUGUGAAUACUGUAAUAUUCUGCUUCUCAACCAGUACAGUUUAGUAUAUUUUCAUUUUCAUUUGUACUUUUCACUU
ensembl:lncRNA novel transcript, antisense to FAM172A